UUGCACAAGGCUUACUGAAACUGGAGCA
rnacentral:piRNA from 1 species